rnacentral:rRNA from 1 species
AACGAUGUCGACUUGGAGGUUGUGCCCCUGAGGCGUGGCUUCCGGAGCUAACGCGUUAAGUCGACCGCCUGGGGAGUACGGCCGCAAGGUUAAAACUCAAAUGAAUUGACGGGGGCCCGCACAAGCGGUGGAGCAUGUGGUUUAAUUCGAUGCAACGCGAAGAACCUUACCUGGUCUUGACAUCCACAGAACCCUGUAGAGAUACGGGGGUGCCUUCGGGAACUGUGAGACAGGUGCUGCAUGGCUGUCGUCAGCUCGUGUUGUGAAAUGUUGGGUUAAGUCCCGCAACGAGCGCAACCCUUAUCCUUUGUUGCCAGCGGUCCGGCCGGGAACUCAAAGGAGACUGCCAGUGAUAAACUGGAGGAAGGUGGGGAUGACGUCAAGUCAUCAUGGCCCUUACGACCAGGGCUACACACGUGCUACAAUGGCGCAUACAAAGAGAAGCGACCUCGCGAGAGCAAGCGGACCUCAUAAAGUGCGUCGUAGUCCGGAUUGGAGUCUGCAACUCGACUCCAUGAAGUCGGAAUCGCUAGUAAUCGUGGAUCAGAAUGCCACGGUGAAUACGUUCCCGGGCCUUGUACACACCGCCCGUCACACCAUGGGAGUGGGUUGCAAAAGAAGUAGGUAGCUUAACCUUCGGGAGGGCGCUUACCACUUUGUGAUUCAUG